rnacentral:rRNA from 1 species
UGUUUAACAAAAACAUAACUGUAUGAGAUACUAUGCAGCUUUUUCUGCUCCAUGAUAUGUUAAAUAGCCGCAGUACCCUGACUGUGCAAAGGUAGCAUAAUCAAUUGGCUUUUAAUUAAAGUCUAGCAUGAACGAACGCAUGGGUAGUUACUGUCUAAAGGAUGUUAAUAUAAAAUUAUCAAGUUGGUGCAAAUGCCAACAAAAUUAAAAAAGACGAGAAGACCCUAGAAACUUAUAGUUGAUUUUGCUGGGGCGGCAGAAUUGCAUAUAACCAAUUUUAAUUAACGUGAAGCGACGCANAAAGAAAAAGUUACUCUAGGGAUAACAGCAUAAUUUUAAUAGUUUGUGACCUCGAUGUUGGACUAGGGAUUCUACCCCCUAGAAGGGAGUAGUUAUGGCUCUGUUCGAGCUAAGAGCCCCUACGUGAUCUGAGUUCAAACCGGACG